GUGGGGAAUAUUGCGCAAUGGACGAAAGUCUGACGCAGCGACGCCGCGUGUGGGAUGAAGCUUUUCGGAGUGUAAACCACUGUUGCUCGGGACGAACAUCCCUUUUCGAGGGGACUGACGGUACCGAGUGAGGAAGCACCGGCUAACUCUGUGCCAGCAGCCGCGGUAAUACAGAGGGUGCGAGCGUUGUCCGGAAUCACUGGGCGUAAAGGGCGCGUAGGUGGCUUGGUAAGCGUGUGGUGAAAGCUCGGGGCUCAACCCCGAGUCGGCCAUGCGAACUGCCGAGCUUGAGCAUGGUAGAGGCAGGUGGAAUUCCGGGUGUAGCGGUGGAAUGCGUAGAUAUCCGGAAGAACACCGGUGGCGAAGGCGGCCUGCUGGGCCAUUGCUGACACUGAGGCGCGACAGCGUGGGGAGCAAACAGGAUUAGAAACCCGUGUAGUCC
rnacentral:rRNA from 1 species